rnacentral:lncRNA from 1 species
GCAGCACAGCGCAGCGCUCCUGGAGAGGCUGUGGGUUCGUGGCAUCCGCGCCGCGGCCGCAAGUAUAGCAGGUUUCGUACCUGGUGUUCAUCGCCGUUAAGUCAUCGCUGCUGCCACCCAGGCACGGCUCUCUAUGCCGCCGCUCCCUCCACCCUCUAGGCACUGCCUGCCGUAAGAAUUUUAACUGCGACACUCGCUUCAGCAGGAGAUUUUAUUGGCUGCAGACACACGCAGCAUCUUCUUGCGCUCCUCCUUGAGGUGGAUGGGCAGCUAGCUGGAGAUGACACAGGAUGAUGCGCAUCUUUCGCACGCUGGCUCCAAGAUCUCCGCUGCCAGAUGCAGCAACAAAGCUUCUUUGUACAGACAGCCCUGGACACACUUCCAGCAGCAAUUCUUCUUGCAGGAACUGGUGCAAGAACAGGAUUUAUUCGUGGCACAGGAGCAGUUGGUGUCCACUGGGAGUGGAGGCAGAAGAGAGACCAGAGCGGGUAUGUUAGGAGAGAAAGCAGUGACUUCAACAGAAGUGGAGUAAAUAAAGAUGAUCACAGAACUUGGAAGCUGACGAAAUUAAUUUUGGAAAAGAGCUGGCUUGGAGCAUGACAGAAGAAUUCGAUGGAAAGAGUGCUGGGAGCCCAACUCAAGACUGAUGUGUGCUUGGCAGGCAGUCUACCCCCGAUCUCAGUCCUCCAGCCUUUCGGCCUUUUUUCCUUUUUGGAGACAGAAUUGCAUCAUAUGGCAUCCUACACAGUCCUGCCUCAGUCUCUGCAGUGCUGGGAUUGUAGGCCUAUGCCACCUAGCCUUUCUACAAUACAAACAAAUAUGAAAAGAAGAGGGACUUCUUUGGAAAGGAGUACAGGGACUAUGGAAGAGAUGAAAAGAUAAUAUUGUCAGAAAUUAUGCCGCUUUUGAAGAGAUAAACUGAACUCUUGAUUCUGUGAGGUUAUUAAAGAAUAUUAAUUUUCAAAUCACGGUAAAAUCUUGAUUCAGCAACACAUGAGGAUAAUCAUUGUGUCCAUGGAAACCUUGGGAAGCAGUUGAAAGCCUGGGUUGGAAGGAACAGAGCCAGUUGGCCAUGGACUGAAACUUUUGGAACUGAUUCUGAGGAGUUAAUGUUUCCAUGAAUAUCUCAGAAGGAGAUGUGGACAAACGAACAGUUAUCUCACUCCUGUAGCUGGCUGAGCUUUUUAAAGAUGGCUAUUCUGAAUUCUUCACAGAUGGCACAGUGUCAGAAUCGUGUGUGGCCUCCUGCUGCCUGAACCAUGCCGCUAAGACAGUUGCCCACUGUGCAGCUUCACACCAUCUGCAGAGAGCAACACUGCAGAGCCUUUGGGAGAGCCUUGCCAGUCGCUGAAAGCCUGGCUGACUGCCAAGCCUUGCACUGUAGACUGAAAAUUGCUCUCUUUGCUGAGCUCAGUACUAACACUUAGAUCUUCAUGGUCUCCUGGGAGACCAUGUCAGCUGCUGUUCAGUGAGAUAAAUUUGGAUCAGCUGAAGAUAUGCACUCUCUAUGCCUUCCUUGACUGUCAGCUAAACAGUGUGCACUCCUGGCUUAGUACAGCCUUGGCUGCUGAGAGCCCCAUUCCUCCCCUGUGCUCUUCAUUGUCCUCAUGAUCUGGCUUUCAUCAUCCAUUAUACUCCUAACACUGGGAGUGAAGUGUCAUUGAAGAAUGUUCAUCAGGCACUACCUCAAAGGGCUGGAGAUGAUUGGUGAAUGCUUUGAUUCUUCAUUCCUCCUAGGACACAUAUCAAGCCCCCAGAAUUUCUCUCUAUCCAGUUGCACCAGUGUGAGGAACUUGACGGUGUCAGGAAAGUGAAACUGCUUCUCUGCUCCAUAUAAAUGUCUGUGCAGAUGCAAAGCCAUGCAUUACAUGGUAGCUCACCUUUAAUCCUAGCACUCAGGAGACAGAGGCAGGAGGAUCUCUCCGAGCUCAAGGCCAGCCUGGUCUUCACAGUGAGUUCCAGGACAGCCAAGGCUACACAGGAAUCCUGUGUACAGGUCCUUGGUAUUGCACUCCUCUCUAUAAACACAACUUGCUUUUAGAAUGUGUGGUUGUUAAGUUGUUCUGUGAAGGAUGGAUAAAGGCUAGCUCACUACUACACCCGUCAGCUUGCUCCUGUCACUUCUUCUCACCUUUGAGCACUUAGCAUCCCUCUCCGUGUUGUCUUUGCUGAAAUGCUUGCUAAGGCGAAGCUCCUCUGUAGCUGUCCUCUAGCCCCAGCCAAGAUUCUUUCAAGAUUUUUCUUUGGCCUUCUGUAAUUUGAAUAUGAUGAAUGUUUUUAUUUACUACUUCAUUUUGUAUUUUGAAUCUUUUUUAAACCAUGCCAGGUUCUCUAGGCUCCUGGUUCUGAUAUGAAUUGAGCGAUUAUCUUAGGCCCUUGUGUUUCAAAUCUUUCUUUCUUUCUUUCUUUCUUUCUUCCUUCCUUCCUUCUUUUCUUUUCUUUUCUUUUCUUUUUUUUUUUUGAGACAGGGUUUCUCUGUAUAGCUCUGGCUGUCCUGUAACUCACCCGGUAGAUCAGGCUGUCCUUGAACUCAGAAAUCCGCCUGCCUCUGCCUCCCAAGUGCUGGAAUUAAAGUCAUGUGCCACCACUGCCCGGCUUACUCAAAUAUUUCCUUUUUUUUUUCAGUCCUCUCUAGUGAUCUCAUUAUACAUGUGUAUAUUCUCUAGUUGUCCCAGUUAUAUGAUGUUCUUCUCUCUCUCUCUCUCUUCCCCCCACCCUGUGUGUGUGUGCGCGUGCAUGCGCGCGUGCAUGUACCCAAGGAAACUAGAAAAGGACUUCAACUCCUUGACGAAGGAGGUACAAGCAUUUGUCAGCCACCUGAUACAGGUAGCAGAAUCUAAACUCUGAUCCACAUUAUUAAGCAGCAAGUGCUGUUACCUGCUAAACUAUCUCGCUGAAAUUUAUCUCUUAGAAAGUUUCUAAUAUAUUAUCACUGUCAGGGAUUCUUUGGCUUGGUUCAGUCUGCUAAUAAGCUUAGGAAAGGCAAUUUUCAUUUUGUUGCAAUAUUUUUGAUCUGUAGCUUUUGUUGUUAUUCUUGUUCAUUUUUCAAACCAGGGUUUCUCCACGGCUAUACUGGAACUCUCUGUAGACUAGGCUGGCCUCAAACUCUCAAAUAUCUCACUGCCUCUGCCUCCCAUGUUCUGGGAUUAUAUCCCUCCACUGCCCAACAGCAUUUAUUUUAUUCUUAAGAUUUGUUUUUCCCUGCUCGUUUGUUUGUUUGUCUGUUUGUUUGGUAUGGUCAUUUGUUUGUUUGUUUUGAUGUAUUUGAACUUGCUAUCUUUAUGUGAGGAUAAGCCUAAGUGUGUAAUAUUUCUGUACUCAUCUCCCAAAUGCUGAAAUGUAGACACGAACCACCACACACUAGGUUUGUUUGGUUUUCUUUUGCAUGCAUUUAUUGUAUUGUGUACAGUACUGGUACCAAAGGAGUCCAUCACAUUCUCUAGAACUUGAAUUACAGAUGGUUGUGAGUUGUCACAUGGUGCUGAGAAUUAAACUUGAUCUUCUUCUUUUUUAAAUUUAAAUUUCUUCACUUACAUUUAAAAUGCUAUCUGAAAAGUCCCCCAUUACCCCCCCCCCUCACUCCCCUACCUACCCACUCCCACUACUUGGCCCCGGUGUUCCCUGUACUGGGGCAUAUAAAGUUUGCAAGACCAAGGAGCCUCUCUUCCCAAUGAUGGCCGACUAGGCCAUCUUCUACAUAUGCAACUAGAGACACAAGCUCUGGGGUACUGGUUAGUUCAUAAUGUUAUUCCACCUAUAGGGUUGCAGACCCCUUCAGCUCCUUGGGUACUUGCUCUAGCUCCUCCAUUGGGGACCCUGUGUUCUAAACUUGAUCUUCUGAAGAGUAACCACUAUUGAUUUUAACUGCUAAGUCAUGUCUCCAGUCCCAAAAGAGGUUUUUUUGUUUGUUUGUUUUUCAUUACUGUGAUGAUCCUAUAAUGAAGAAGAGAAUGCUGGUGGUUUGUUUAUGUGUUUGUUUGUUUUUUGAGACAGGGUUUCACUGUGUGUCCUUGGCUGCCCUGGAAUUUAAGCAUCAGACUGGCCUUGAUCUCACAGAGAUCUGCCUACUUUUGCGCUGAGAUUAAAGGUCUGCACUAACACCUCCCAGCCAGAUGUCUCUUUAACAGACUGACUUUACUUCCUCACGAGUAUUAUGAUGGUUUCUUCCUGUCCUGUGAGGAAUGCUAUUGAUUUGGGGUUUGGUUUGUGGAAUUUUUGUUUUCUGGUUUUUUGUAAUUUUUCCCCCCUAAAUAUCAUGCUGUCUUAUUCUUU